AAGAAAAUCAAAAUAUUGGCGUUUACAAAUUUGGAAUGUGUUGCGUCUUUCCGGGAGCCUGCUGUGGCAAGAGCCUACGUAAAGGAUGCCUUAUUCACAGCAUUGCCAAUAUAAUUAUAUUAAUCAUUUUCAUUUUGAUUAUGGCACAUAAAUGUUAGUCAUAAUUCUUAAGUAAACUGCAGUCGAGAAAACGAUAACCUUUUCAAACACUUUGUAACAUUAGUAACGAGUGGCCUGGACGAAAAAGAUAGGGAGUAUGGUGUGAGCAUAAAUGUCUAUUACAUUAUUAUGGUCUUGCUUGUAGUAUUUAUUGUUGGUGCCCUCCUCCUAUUGAUCGGCAUCUUCACGCGCAACAAAGCAUUGGUUAUAACUGCUUUGGUUAUAAACUACGUACAAGUCGCGUCUUACAUUGCCUCGCUCUCUCAAAUCUAUCUUGGUUGCAAGUUAUCAUAUCUAUAUCGGUAUUGUGAUAUAUUCGUAUUAUGCAACGGAAAUGAAACCUGGACGUAGAGCACCAUCAACAAGGACGCAAGAGUUAAGGAAUGAUGGCUAGGAAAUCUAGAAUCCUUUCAACAACCAUCAUCUACUUGAGUGCGUAUGGAUGGAAUGGAAUUCUGGUAACCACUUAUUGGUUAAUGGUGGGUCUCCAUACUACAUACGAUUGUGUCUGUUACCGAAGCAAAUGUAAAUGUUAUGUUCCAAAUAAUUUCAUCCAGAUCAGAAUGUAAUGCCAUACACGUCAUUCGUAUUAUAUAAAUAUAAAAAAAAUCGCAAAUUUAAAUUUAAGUGAAUCAAAAUGUGUGUGGUUUGUCCAAAUCUUUGCGGCAAGAUAGGCUUACGUGUAGGAUGUAUUAUUCAUUGCAUUGUGAAUUUAACUGUACUUAUUAUUUUCCUUGGGGUCUCUAUGGUUUCCAUUGUUUCUUCACGUAGAGAUGAAUUCAACGAAUCAGAAAAACGUAGUGACUCUAUAUUUUAUUUAAUUAUUUUUUUUGUCGUGAUUGUAUUAUGCAUUAUUGGUACUCUUUGCUUGUUGUUUGGAGUCCUUAAGAGAAGCAAAAAUUGCGCAAUCACAGGUUUGGUUACAACCUACAUAGAGGCUGGAUAUUUUAUUCUUAUGAUUAUCUUAAGUCCAUAUGGUGCAUACCUAAUAUAUAUAAGCAUUGUGAUAUAUUCAUAUAUACAAACGGCUAUGGAACCAACUGAAGAAACUGAUACACAAGUAAGAUCGCGGCCACAGAGGAAGGAAAACUGGUAGUUCAAGGAGCUGUACAAUUUCCGUGUGGUACGCUUUUCAAAUCAUAAAGUCUUAUAGCGAAAUCUAUCAGU